rnacentral:rRNA from 1 species
GACGAACGCUGGCGGCGUGCCUAAUACAUGCAAGUAGAACGCUGAAGGAGGAGCUUGCUCUUCUGGAUGAGUUGCGAACGGGUGAGUAACGCGUAGGUAACCUGCCUGGUAGCGGGGGAUAACUAUUGGAAACGAUAGCUAAUACCGCAUAACAUUGACUAUUGCAUGAUAGUCAAUUGAAAGGUGCAAAUGCACCACUAUCAGAUGGACCUGCGUUGUAUUAGCUAGUUGGUGGGGUAACGGCUCACCAAGGCGACGAUACAUAGCCGACCUGAGAGGGCGAUCGGCCACACUGGGACUGAGACACGGCCCAGACUCCUACGGGAGGCAGCAGUAGGGAAUCUUCGGCAAUGGACGGAAGUCUGACCGAGCAACGCCGCGUGAGUGAAGAAGGUUUUCGGAUCGUAAAGCUCUGUUGUAAGAGAAGAACGAGUGUGAGAGUGGAAAGUUCACACUGUGACG